CACGUAGUUAGCCGGCGCUUCUUUACCCACUACCCUCACCACAACCCAAAGCUGCGGCUUGACCAUGAGCGAAAGAGGUUUACAACCCGGAGGCCGUCAUCCCUCACGCGGCGUCGCUGCAUCAGGCUUUCGCCCAUUGUGCAAUAUUCCCCACUGCUGCCUCCCGUAGGAGUCUGGGCCGUAUCUCAGUCCCAAUGUGACCGGUCACCCUCUCAGGCCGGCUACCCGUCAAAGCCCUUGGUAGGCCAUCACCCCACCAACAAGCUGAUAGGCCGCGAGCCCAUCCCCCACCAGAAAAAACCUUUCCACCAACCCCCAUGCGAAGGCCAGUGAAUAUCCAGUAUUAGCACCCGUUUCCGGGCGUUAUCCCAAAGAAGGGGCAGGUUACUCACGUGUUACUCACCCGUUCGCCACUCAUCCACCCAGCAAGCUGGGCUUCAGCGUUCGACUUGCAUGUGUUAAGCACGCCGCCAGCGUUCGUCCUCGUAGCCACGGAUCGAAACUACCU
rnacentral:rRNA from 1 species